rnacentral:rRNA from 1 species
CCUACGGGGGGCAGCAGUGGGGAAUAUUGCACAAUGGGGGAAACCCUGAUGCAGCGACGCCGCGUGAGUGAAGAAGUAUUUCGGUAUGUAAAGCUCUAUCAGCAGGGAAGAAAAAAGACGGUACCUGACUAAGAAGCCCCGGCUAACUACGUGCCAGCAGCCGCGGUAAUACGUAGGGGGCAAGCGUUAUCCGGAUUUGCUGGGUGUAAAGGGAGCGUAGACGGCGCGGCAAGUCUGAAGUGAAAGGCGGGGGCCCAACCCCUGGACUGCUUUGGGAACUGUACGGCUGGAGUGCAGGAGCGGUA